GUGUCAGCAGCCGCGGUAAGACAGAGGGUGCAAACGUUGUUCGGAAUUACUGGGCGUAAAGCGCAUGUAGGCGGCUCGGAAAGUCGGAUGUGAAAGCCCAGGGCUCAACCCUGGAAGUGCACUCGAAACUCCCGAGCUGGAGUCCCGGAGAGGAAGGCGGAAUUCUCGGUGUAGAGGUGAAAUUCGUAGAUAUCGAGAGGAACACCUGUGGCGAAGGCGGCCUUCUGGACGGUGACUGACGCUGAGAUGCGAAAGCGUGGGGAGCAAACAGGAUUAGAUACCCCCGUAGUCC
rnacentral:rRNA from 1 species